CCCUUAGAUGUUCUGGGCUGCACACGCGCUACACUGAAGGAGGCAGCGUGUACUCCUGGAUCGAAAGAUUUGGGUAACCCGCGAAUCUCCUUCGUGCUAGGGAUUGAGGUUUGCAAUUAUCCUUCAUGAACGAGGAAUUCCCAGUAAGUGCAAGUCAUAAGCUUGCGCUGACUACGUCCCUGCCCUUUGUACACACCGCCCGUCGCUACUACCGAUUGAAUGAUUUAGUGAGGACUUCGGACUGGGACCGAUGCGGCUUUCGGGCUGCGUCGGUAUUCUGGAAAGAUGCCCAAACUGUAUCAUUUAGAGGAAGUAAAAGUCGUAACA
rnacentral:rRNA from 1 species